rnacentral:rRNA from 1 species
AUUGAACGCUGGCGGCAGGCCUAACACAUGCAAGUCGAGCGGAGCGGCGGACGGGUGAGUAAUGCCUAGGAAUCUGCCUGUUAGUGGGGGAUAACGUCCGGAACCGGGCGCUAAUCCCGCAUCCUAUCAGAUUAGCCUAGGUCGGAUUAGCUAGUGGGUGGGGUAAGGGCCUACCAAGGCGACGCUCCGUAACUGGUCUGAGAGGAUGAGCAGUCACACUGGAACUGAGACACGGUCCAGACUCCUACGGGAGGCAGCAGUGGGGAAUAUUGGACAAUGGGCGCAAGCCUGAUGCAGCCAUGCCGCGUGUGUGAAGAAGGUCUUCGGAUUGUAAAGCACUUUAAGUUGGGAGGCGUUACCCACAGAAUAAGCACCGGCUAACUUCGUGCCAGCAGCCGCGGUAAUUC